rnacentral:lncRNA from 1 species
UUAACUGUGAAAUGUUUAAUAAGUUUGUUGAUUGUCAGAGAUUGUAUAAAAAAAUUUGUAGAGAAAAAAAGCAUUUUCAUUUUUGGAAAUUACAGCAAAAGUUGUCUAGUUUUAGAGAUUCCAAGUCUUUUUGGUCUAUUCUUUGUAGAUUUAAGCCAUCUGGAUCUCAUUCUUCACAUAUUGAGAUUUCAGAAUGGUUUUCAAUUUUUUUCUUAUAAAUUUGCAAGGCCUUCUCAGGAUAUAGCCAUUGAUGGGAUGGGAUUAGAUAUUGUUAAUAGAGCGACUGACAAUUGGGAUUUAGUAUCCCCUUUUAUUAUGGAGAUGAUGAUAUUGGCAGUUUCUAGAUUAAAAGUAGGUAAAGCUCCCAGAGCUGAUUGUAUUUGUGCUGAAUUUAUAAAAAAUUUGGAGGGUCAUCUAUUUUGA